rnacentral:lncRNA from 10 species
GGGCACAUCGCCUGAGCUCAGGAGUUCAAGACCACCCUGGGCAACAUGGCAAAACCCUGUCUCUAUGAAAAUACAAAAAAUUAGCCAGGCGUGGUGGCAGGAGCCUGUAGUCCCAGCUACUCGGGAGGCUGAGGCAGGAGAAUCGCUUGAACCCAGGAGGCAGAGGUUGCAGUGAGCCGAGAUCAUGCCAAUGCACUCCAGCCUGGGUGACAGAGUAAGACACUGUCUCAAAAAAAAAAAAAUUUCUAACUAUGAUUUUACAGUAAAUUACAAUAAUCACUGUGGAAUGAUGCCAACUUGAAAGUCACUAAAAUAACCAUAAUGAUCAUGGUUUACAUUUAGUUACUUGAUAAGCUCUCAACAAUACUAAACUUUUCCUGACCCCUGUACUCCAGGAAAACAGGAACAGGAUCCUAAGAAGCCCUGAGAGCUGAGGUCCAACAACUUGAUGUAAACCUCAAAGGAUUCAUCAUUGCAACAGAUUAUUCAUGGGCUGAACUUUUCCCUGGACACGCUGCUGUCUGGCUGCUGUUUGGGCCAUUAAAGAAGGAAGUCCAGCAAAAUGCUCAGGUCAUGCAUGCUCUUAUAUGGGAAGCAACCAAGACUGUGGACAAUAUCACCAGAGUAUUGACGUCCUAACUUCAAGAAACCCAAUGAAUGGUGUUGUGUAAGCGAAAGAUUUUCCUCCACUGACCUCCUGGCAUCUGUCAGACUAUUUACUGUCCGGUUUCAACUCCUAGCUCUUUAGUUUAAUGCAAUCUUUUACAUUAAAUAUCUGUCUUUUUAAAUGUAAGAUGCCUGAUAUCCAGGACUUGAAAAGAACUGAUCUUUGCCACCGCCUGUCAACAGAUGGUUCAACUAAUUUUACAAGAACAAUGCCAACAAGAGCCCCUGAGAAACUGUUUCUUAGACCCUGCUUUGCGCCACACCAGAGGGCUUAUGAUCACUUCUGAGUUGUUCAGUGAGGAAUAAUAUUCACUUGUUUUGAACUGAAGGAGGAACUGGGAAUGUUAAACUUUAUCUGAGCCCUGUCCUCACAGGAAACAGUGACAGUUAAGAAAUCUCCCCACUGUUUUGUAUUCUGGGAAAUGAUUAACAACAAAGAAUCAUCCUCCUCCACAUGCGAUAGGUAAGACCUGCCUCCACGCAUCCUCAUGAUUUUCUUGUUUACCUACCUCUAUAAAACCCCAAACUCCCUACUUGCUCUUUAGCGUUCCUCACUCAUGAGUGUUCUCUCUAUUGCAAUAGCCUGAAUAAAAUAAUCUCUUUAGUUGUCUGGUGCAUUUUGUGUUUCACAUCCCAUAGAGUACAUUCCAGCUGCCUGGAAGGAUAGGAUAGGGCAACAUUGCCUGGGAU